rnacentral:rRNA from 1 species
GACGAACGCUGGCGGCGUGCCUAAUACAUGCAAGUUGAGCGCUGAAGGUUGGUACUUGUACCAACUGGAUGAGCAGCGAACGGGUGAGUAACGCGUGGGGAAUCUGCCUUUGAGCGGGGGACAACAUUUGGAAACGAAUGCUAAUACCGCAUAAAAACUUUAAACACAAGUUUUAAGUUUGAAAGAUGCAAUUGCAUCACUCAAAGAUGAUCCCGCGUUGUAUUAGCUAGUUGGUGAGGUAAAGGCUCACCAAGGCGGUGAUACAUAGCCGACCUGAGAGGGUGAUCGGCCACAUUGGGACUGAGACACGGCCCAAACUCCUACGGGAGGCAGCAGUAGGGAAUCUUCGGCAAUGGACGAAAGUCUGACCGAGCAACGCCGCGUGAGUGAAGAAGGUUUUCGGAUCGUAAAACUCUGUUGGUAGAGAAGAACGUUGGUGAGAGUGGAAAGCUCAUCAAGUGACGGUGACUACCCAGAAAGGGACGGCUAACUACGUG